rnacentral:siRNA from 1 species
GCCGAGAUUGGAUGGUUUCAGGCU